CAUGACUUGGAUGGAGCCGACCUCGUUGUUGCACCAUCCCAUAGCCUGCAGAGAGGGGUAGUCACCGCACACCUCCCACUGCCUUCCACCCAUGUUCUCACACUCGAAAAGCAUCAUACGGGAAUCCUUGUGCAUCUGUUUCAGAAUGAAGAACAACAUUUCGGCUCAUGACUUGGAACUUGAAUUAAACUGGCAGUGGCCACGUCUCACAGGAUGAUGAACCAAAUUGCAAAUGGGAAUGGAAUUUACUGCAGUGCAAUUUAAAGAAAUUUCAUGCAUCACACUGCGGUGUAAUACUUAAAAUGAACAAGAAAUUGCAUUCUGGGAAAUGUUCUUCCAUAACGCUCCGUAAAAUGAAGACAGUGAUGAUCGGAAAGUCUACUGGUGGGUGUAUGUCGUGUUCUGGUGCAGAUGGUCUCACUCACAGCAGAACAGAUGGGGCGGAAGGACAUCAGCCUCUCGAUGCGAUAGGCAUUGCUUCCACUCCAGGCCUCCCAGCAUGGGUAAUCUCCCUUCUCCAGGAUGAACUGCUGGCCAUUGAA